CCCAGCCUCUCCCCUAACUCCUUCCAGCCCCAAGCAGAAAUGCUCCUUGAUAAGGAGGAGAGUCGCAUGCUUGCGUUUGCUUGGACCAUGGUCCCGGCUGGACUCUGAGCAUCUCCGUCAAGGGGGAAUGAUUUGUCUGAUUCCAUAGCAGAGCUUUAGGAAGAAGUGCUGGCACCGUCCACCCCUUUUACACCUUGAAGAUGAAGGCUCACCACAGGCCAGCAACACUCCGCCAGAAGCCAGGAAGUGCUCCAGACCACACUUUACAAACCUCCCCCCUCUGGCCCUGGGCGCUGGCACCCGGAUCUUCCUGCACUCAGUGUCCCUGCCCCAAGCAGAGCUGGCGGCUACAUCAAUGGCCUGCAUUAGCUUCAGCUCAGCCAGGAGCACCACGCC